UACGAAGGGGGCUAGCGUUGCUCGGAAUCACUGGGCGUAAAGGGCGCGUAGGCGGCCGAUCAAGUCAGGGGUGAAAGCCUGUGGCUCAACCACAGAAUUGCCUUUGAUACUGUUCGGCUCGAGACCGGAAGAGGUAAGUGGAACUGCGAGUGUAGAGGUGAAAUUCGUAGAUAUUCGCAAGAACACCAGUGGCGAAGGCGGACUUACUGGUCCGGUUCUGACGCUGA
rnacentral:rRNA from 1 species